UUUAAUGAAAGAACAGGUGCAUGGUGUGUCCUCACGUGAAGAUAGCAAGGAAGUCUUCUAAGCAGGAUCUGUAGUAAUGUAAGUGAAUGCUGUGUUUUUUCCAAGUAGAAGACUAUGUACUGUGUCCAUAUCCCAUGGAAGUGUGAUUGAUGUGUUGUCAUAUAAGUUCUGGGAGAGUGCAGGGUCCUCACAUCACAAUAGGGUGAAGGUUGUGUGAUGGAUAGGUGGAUGCUCUGUCCCCCACUAUCUAGAGGUGAAGGCUGUCAUCUCACAUAUCUGAACUUUGAAUUUGGUGUCCUCAUGGGAUGGCCUGUCUUCACCUGAUGGAAGAGGAAGGUCCUGCCCUCAAACUGAGGUGAAUGACCUGGUAGAAGAAUGAAGAUCUGAUUGUCAACAGGAACAUGAAUGCAGUUUCUACAGCUCAUGGGAGAAUGAACUCUGUGGACUCAGCUGAUGGAAGGGAGAAGUCUGACCUCGCUGGAGAGAAGAGCAAAUGCCAUGUUCCAAGCUUACAGAAUUUGAAUGCCUUCUCAUGGAGGGAUGUGGGAGCACCCUAUCCUCUACCAAAUGAAAGAUUGUCAUCAGUGUUCACUGGAUGGAACUGUGAAUACCUUCUCACCAGAUGGCAUGUUGAAGGCCAUGUCCUAAUGUGGCAGUAAGGUGAAUUUCAUAUUAUGUGAAGAUAGGGUGAAGACCCUGUCCCCCCAUGUGAUAGAAGGGUGAAUGAAAUGUACUCAGGUGAUGGUAGGUGAAUUUCCCGUUUCCCCUGAUGGAAAGCAAAUUGCUCCAAUGAGAGGUGAAUUCUGUAUACCCAGCCAAUGGAAGAGGAAACAUCCUUUCUUCACCUGAGGGAAGGUUGGACAUCUUUAUCCUAUGUCUGUAGAGUGAACAUAGUUUCCUCAAGGGGUGAUAGGGAGAAGGUCAUGUCUUUAUGUGAGAGAAUUCUGAAUACCCUG